ACGGGAGGCAGCAGUGAGGAAUAUUGCACAAUGGAGGAAACUCUGAUGCAGCCAUGCCGCGUGCAGGAUGAAUGCCCUAUGGGUUGUAAACUGCUUUUCUGCAAGAAGAAACCUUAGUACGUGUACUAAGCUGACGGUACUGCAGGAAUAAGCACCGGCUAACUCCGUGCCAGCAGCCGCGGUAAUACGGAGGGUGCAAGCGUUAUCCGGAUUUAUUGGGUUUAAAGGGUCCGCAGGCGGAACUUUAAGUCAGUGGUGAAAGCCUACAGCUUAACUGUAGAACUGCCAUUGAUACUGAAGUUCUUGAGUGUGGUUGAUGUGGGCGGAAUAUGUCAUGUAGCGGUGAAAUGCAUAGAUAUGACAUGGAACACCUAUUGCGAAAGCAGCUCACAAAACCAUUACUGACGCUCAUGGACGAAAGUGUGGGUAGCGAACAGGAUUAGAUACCCUGGUAGUCCACACCGUAAACUAUGAUCACUAGAUGUUGGCGAUAAAAUGUCAGUGUUAAAGAGAAAUCGUUAAGUGAUCCACCUGGGGAGUACGUUCGCAAGAAUGAAACUCAAAUGAAUUGACGG
rnacentral:rRNA from 1 species